rnacentral:rRNA from 1 species
AUGGAUGGGGAUAAAAAUAAUGCUUAUUUUCAUGCGAUGGCCAAUCAUAGACACAGAAAAAACCACUUAUCUGAGCUUGUUGGAGAAAAUGGUCCAGUAUACACCACUCAGGAAAUGCUGGAGGUAGCUACUACCUACUAUAAAAACUUGUUUUGUUUUGAAAACAAGCACAAUAUAUGUCUUGGUCCUUCCUUUUGGGAGGAAAAUGAGUUAGUUACCCAGGAAGAGAACGACCACUUGCAGAAAAACUUUUCUGAAGAGGAGAUUAAAGAGGCAAUAUUUGGGUCUUAUGCCCAUGGUGCCCCUGGCCCGGAUGGACUAUCUUUCUUGUUUUAUCAAACCUUUUGGGAUGUUAUUAAAAGUGACUUUAUGGCCCUGGUGAGAGACUUUGAAGCAGGGAAACUGGAUUUACAACGAUUAAACUUUGCCCUGAUUGUGCUCAUUCCUAAAGAAGUUGAUGCCAGGGAGAUGAAGAAGUUUCGCCCCAUUAGUCUGAGUAACUGUGGGAUUAAGAUUUUUUCUAAAGCCAUGACCAAUAGGGUCUCCCCUGUUGGGGGCAGGCUGAUUUCUUCUAAUCAAACUGCAUUCAUUAAGGGGAGAUACAUACUAGAGAGUGUGGUGAUGGCACAUGAAGUGAUCCAUGAGAUUAAAAAAUCAGGAUCGCAAGGUUUAGUUCUCAAAUUAGACUACGAGAAGGCCUAUGAUAGAGUUAGUUGGGAAUUUCUGUUUGAUAUGCUUCACUCGAGGGGUUUUGGUCCAAAAUGGAUUUCUUGGAUUAAAAGCACUCUUGUUAAUAGCACUUUCAGUGUGAGGAUUAAUGACACGACAGGUCCCUACUUUGUAGGAGGAAAAGGCCUCAAACAAGGGGAUCCACACUCCCCCCUGUUGUUUAAUCUAGUUGCUGAUGUUUUUACCAAAAUGCUCAAGAAAGCUGCUUCCCAACGUCUAAUUUCUGGGCUUCUGCCCCAUGUGAUCCCUGGAGGUGUGGUUAGUCUGCAGUAUGCAGAUGACACCAUACUCUUCCUGGAAAAUUCUGUCCAAAAACCAAGAAAUUUUAAAUGGCUUCUGUCAUGUUUUGAAAACCUGUCUGGGAUGAAACUCAACUUCCAUAAAAGUGAUCUCAUGACUAUAAAUAUGGAUGAUGCAAUUGCUAAGGAUUUGCUCAAAUUUUUUGCUGUAAAAAUGGUUCUUUUCCUAUUAAGUACUUGGGAGUGCCUUUGCAUUAUGAUAAAUUAA